CAAAAACUGCCACCGGGUAGGGAUGCUAUAAGCAUUCAUGUGGACAUCGUUAGGUCAUAGAAGAUGUACAUAUGGAUGCUUGUUUUUU
rnacentral:ncRNA from 1 species